rnacentral:rRNA from 1 species
UACAGAGGGUGCAAGCGUUAAUCGGAAUUACUGGGCGUAAAGCGCACGUAGGUGGAUAUUUAAGUCAGAUGUGAAAACCCCGGGCUCAACCUGGGAAUGGCAUUUGAUACUGGGUAUCUAGAGUGAUGAUAGAGGGUAGAGGAAUUUCUGGUGUAGCGGUGAAAUGCGUAGAUAUCAGAAGGAACAUCAGUGGCGAAGGCGUCUACCUGGAUUAAUACUGACACUGAGGAGCGAAAGCAUGGGUAGCAAACAGG